rnacentral:rRNA from 1 species
UACGAAGGGGACUAGCGUUGUUCGGAAUCACUGGGCGUAAAGCGCACGUAGGCGGAUUUGUAAGUCAGGGGUGAAAUCCCGGGGCUCAACCUCGGAACUGCCUUUGAUACUGCGAGUCUUGAGUCCGAUAGAGGUGGGUGGAAUUCCUAGUGUAGAGGUGAAAUUCGUAGAUAUUAGGAAGAACACCAGUGGCGAAGGCGGCCCACUGGAUCGGUACUGACGCUGAGGUGCGAAAGCUAGGGGAGCAAACAGG